rnacentral:rRNA from 1 species
CACGUAGGGCGCAAGCGUUGUCCGGAAUUAUUGGGCGUAAAGAGCUCGUAGGCGGUCUGUUGCGUCCGCUGUGAAAACUCGGGGCUUAACCCCGAGCCUGCAGUGGAUACGGGCAGACUAGAGGUAGGUAGGGGAGAAUGGAAUUCCCGGUGUAGCGGUGAAAUGCGCAGAUAUCGGAAGAACACCAGUGGCGAAGGCGACUUACUGGACACAUAUUGACGCUGAGGUGCGAAAGCGUGGGGAGCAAACAGG